CGACUAAGCUCCAUCUUUCAAAAAAUUCAAAUAUAUUUAGAAAUUUCUAUAGAAUUUUUAAUAUUUCCUGUAGAAAAAUUAUUUCUCGUAUAAAAAAUAUUAAAUUUCUUUGGGAUAUUAAUUUUUAGAAGUUGAGGCAUACUAAAAACAGAAGUGGUUAAUACUCUCAAGGCAAGGAUCCAUGAUUGGUAUAUAUGUUGAUUUUUACGAAACUGCAUUCUAAACGGAUGCAAAAAUGCCACCUUGGCACUGGCAUUAUUAUCCGGCACAGUGUUAUUUAUUCCUCAUUCCAUUUUGAGCUGCAUUUUUCGAAUAGAGAUAUAUAUACAACCACUCACCUUAGUGUACUUCGGAAAACAUUGGUUUUUCCAGGCUGAAUUCGAAUGAGAAUUGUUGAAGCUAUUUUCGCCAAUAAUGUACAUCUUAAAUAUCAUUACUGGCGGUUGCCGGAAACAAAAAAUAACUGUUUCUUGUCGUUAGUGCUCAUUUUGUAUGUUUUAUGUACUUACAUUUAAGGCGGGCUGAUUUUAGUAAAACGUUGAGAGAACGUUAGUAAUUUGCAUUGAUAUGAUUUGUUUAAAAAUAUUUUUGGUCGUCAUUUUGAGACGAACUAUUCCCAAACGCACAAAUCUGGAAUUGUUUUCAUGGCAAAUAAUGAAUAAAAAGUAGAUGAAUUC
rnacentral:sRNA from 1 species